rnacentral:pre_miRNA from 1 species
GAAGUACUCCCUCUGUUCUAAAAUUCUUGUCUUAGAUUUGUUUAGAUAUGAAUGUAUCUAGUUAUGUUUUAGUAUUUUGAUACAUUCAUUUUUAAACAAGCUUAAGACAAAAAUUUUGGGACGCAGGGAGUACAAA